rnacentral:lncRNA from 13 species
GUAAGACUGAGGAGCAUUCAGAAUGUUCUAUGUGAUGGUACCUCAGGUAGCGAUCUGUUUAAGAGGCCUUUUCUACUUAUGUUCUGGUGUCUAAUGAGGUAUCGUCUUACCUAUGUGUGUGUGUGUGUGUGUGUGUGUGUUUGUUGUCAGCCUGCAAAGCAAACCGCUAUGGGCCAGACUGCACAGAGAGCUGUGUGUGUUACAACGCGGCUCACUGUGACCAUCGGAACGGCCGCUGCACAUGUCUCAACAGCUGGAUCGGACUCACCUGUCAGGAAGGUGGGCCUCCACGCCUCCCCUACAGAAGCAGGAGGGAGGACAACGCACAUCUAGACAAUGCGUUAUAGCGCCCCCUUUUGGCCGGAGGCUCCAAUCACCAAUGAGCCUCCGACGGUAAGAGGCUGGGGAAGCAGCACAAGCUUCGCUGAAGCCGAACUGAAUUAAAAGGUUGGAUAUUAUUAUUUCAGACAUACACACCCCAACGGGACAGGAUACUGCUGCACCCACAGGAGCUGGAUGAGACAUGGAGAAAUGGACUCUAAGGAGAAAUGUUCUCAGUGUUUGCUCUAGGGUGGAUAAUGCUUUGGUGUGUGUGUGUAUGCUGUAAACUGUGCAGGGCUUUCAUUGUUUGUGUUCAUGUGCAUACUGUAUACAUGUGCAUCUCCCACUCAGGCAUGCCUAACUCAUCAGUGAUGAGGUACGGUAUGUUGUGACCCCCUUUCUGGUAGUUAGAGGGCAGCCAGUGUUUACCAGGACUAGGAGCUCUAUUCAUUGCGUGUCGCUGAAGCGUUCAAUUUAAAGGUAAUGACCUAUUGGCUGACAUCUGCAGCGUUUACCUUGCAUGCAGUGUCUGCUAAAGCAGGAACAUUGCCUUUAAAUUCAAAUCAAGCUGUAAUGCUGAAUUUCCGCGAUACGGAUUGAAUGGAGCCCGAGAUCUCCCCACUACAGCCUCCUCUGCACACUCCCCCCUGGACAAACCACGCGGGAUAUAGAUGUGUUUGGCGACAGUUGCUGAACGUCCAACACUAACACUCAUUUUUUAUUGCAGAGAUUCACCGACUCACUAUUGUACUUGAUAUUUGUUUUGUAUACUAUGCAAUGCUAUACUAUUGUACUUGACAUUUGUUUUGUAUACUUGGCAAUUCUGUAGUGUUUUAUGCUUUGGUUUUUGUCAUUUACCCCAGAAAUGUUCAUGGAAUAUGUGGAUAAACAGUAUACAUGUGGCAUUAUUAUACAAAUCCCAUCACUUCUACAUCAUAUACUGUAAAUGAUUCAUCAUUUGAAUCUGUCCUUAUGAAUGAGCCAUCAGAGCCAACAUAACCCAGGUAUCUAUGCUUUUGGAAAGUAGUGUGAGGUGAAUCCUAUCAGACAAUGCAAAGUGAUUUGAGCACCUGAAAAAAUGCUUUCAAUGAUAUUUCCAAUCCAGUAUAAUAUUGUGAUGUCUAAUUGCAGUGAAUACCAUACAGUUCUGUUUGAUAUUCUGUACUUUAUAUGAAGCGACUUGUUAUAAAAAUGUUGGUGCUAUGGCGCUUUAAAUCCACUAUAUGUUAACCAGAAGACAGUAUAUUAUCUACAUAUUGGUCAGUACAUUUUUGUUUACCAAAGUAUGUUUGCGUGGGCGAUUCUGAUUCAUAUCCUCAAAGUUUAGAGUUCACCCCAUUGGAUUGCACAAUGAUUCAGGAGACACAAUAUAACUUGAGCAGACAGUGGGCUCAGCCCAGUCAUGGUAAACAGUACCUUUUUGUUUUUUGUGUAUAAAGUGCUCUUUACAUAUAUUUAUAUUUUAUACAGUAUAUUGUAUACAGUUCAAGAUAAUGCAAUAGGUAAGUGUAUUCUGUCUAUGACUGGAGUCAAGAGGAUGUUCUAAUCGGGACACCUAGUAAAUAACCCAGAAAAUAUCAAAAACAAUCAAUGAAUGAAAAAGUCAAACACAGGGAACUGUUUUUACAUUCUUAUUUUUUCAUUGUCAUUUCAUUAAAGACGAAGCUGUACAUCUGGUCUAAAUGCAGACUGAAGCACAGUGCAGUUAGCAAUGCCUGCAAAUGAAAAGAAAGAAAAGGCAGAGGUGACCACAACCAUAGAUAUAAAGGUCAAACUAUGUACAUACAGGAGAUGACUAGCUAGGGCAUCAUCACUGAGAGAAGGUAGUCUGCCAUUGCAUUCAUUUGAGAGCAUUCUGCACAAUAUACACAAUACAAAUAAAUUGCUUAUUUUGUCUAUCUUUACACUGAUACAAUAUUAAGAGGAAAAUGCAGCAUGUUGAAAAUGAAAAUAAAAAGACACUUUUAUUCUCCCUCUUCUGCUUCUUCUACGUUAAAGGCCCGAACAUACAAAAAUAAUCUCUAACAUACGGCAUUCUGUGAGAUGAGCAUCAUUCAUCUACAGGGCUGGUUUCAAAAGUUUCUGAGCUGACAGUAACAUCAAUACUAUGAUAUGUAUGGAACAGUGGCUGUGCAAAGGGAGGCUGUCAGAGGGAAACACUGGACAGGGAGACAAGAGACCCUGCAACGAUGAGUCUACUCACUAAACAGCCUGACUCACACACCUCAAAUUCUUAUAAAAUCAUCCACACUGCUUGUCUAGCAUUAUCCACUAUGUCAGUAAGAAGCAAGCUCUUCCAAGAGUGCACU